AUACGUAGGGGGCAAGCGUUGUCCGGAUUUAUUGGGCGUAAAGGGUGCGUAGGCGGCCUUUUAAGUCAGAUGUGAAAGGUCACGGCUCAACCGUGGUAAGCAUUUGAAACUGAAAGGCUUGAGUUAAGGAGAGGAAAGUGGAAUUCCUAGUGUAGCGGUGAAAUGCGUAGAUAUUAGGAGGAAUACCAGUGGCGAAGGCGACUUUCUGGACUUAUACUGACGCUGAGGCACGAAAGCGUGGGGAGCGAACAGGAUUAGAGACCCUGGUAGUCCACGCCGUAAACGAUGAGUGCUAGGUGUUGGGGGUCAAACCUCGGUGCCGCAGCUAACGCAUUAAGCACUCCGCCUGGGGAGUACGUACGCAAGUAUGAA
rnacentral:rRNA from 1 species